AAGCCGUUAUCUGGGAAAACUUUGUUUUGAAAACAAAGUUAAAGUGUUCAAUUCACUUAACGGCUU
rnacentral:tRNA from 1 species